rnacentral:rRNA from 1 species
UACGGAGGGUGCAAGCGUUAUCCGGAUUCACUGGGUUUAAAGGGUGCGUAGGCGGGUUGGUAAGUCCGUGGUGAAAUCCCCAGCUUAACUUGGGAACUGCCGUGGAUACUAUCAAUCUUGAAUAUCGUGGAGGUAAGCGGAAUAUGUCAUGUAGCGGUGAAAUGCUUAGAUAUGACAUAGAACACCAAUUGCGUAGGCAGCUUACUACACGAUCAUUGACGCUGAGGCACGAAAGCGUGGGGAUCAAACAGG